GUUGUUCGGAUAUUGGGCGUAAGGGCUCGCAGGCGGUUUCUUAAGUCUGAUGUGAAAGCCCCCGGCUCAACCGGGGAGGGUCAUUGGAAACUGGGGAACUUGAGUGCAGAAGAGGAGAGUGGAAUUCCACGUGUAGCGGUGAAAUGCGUAGAGAUGUGGAGGAACACCAGUGGCGAAGGCGACUCUCUGGUCUGUAACUGACGCUGAGGAGCGAAAGCGUGGGGAGCGAACAGGAUUAGAUACCCUGGUAGUCCACGCCGUAAACGAUGAGUGCUAAGUGUUAGGGGGUUUCCGCCCCUUAGUGCUGCAGCUAACGCAUUAAGCACUCCGCCUGGGGAGUACGGUCGCAAGACUGAAACUCAAAGGAAUUGACGG
rnacentral:rRNA from 1 species